CGUCAAGUCAUCAUGGCCCUUACGCAUAGGGCUACACACGUGCUACAAUGGAGAAUACAGACGGACGCUAAGCCGCGAGGUGGUGCCAAUCCUAGAAAAUUCUUCGUAGUCCGGAUUGGAGUCUGCAACUCGACUCCAUGAAGUCGGAAUCGCUAGUAAUCGCGAAUCAGCAUGUCGCGGUGAAUACGUUCUCGGGUCUU
rnacentral:rRNA from 1 species